CUUUUGUUAGUCCUAGAAACACUAACGAAUAAGGGGUGGGCAAGUUCUGGUGUCAGCCGCCGCGGUAAAACCAGCACCUCAAGUGGUCAGGAUGAUUAUUGGGCCUAAAGCAUCCGUAGCCGGCUCUGUAAGUUUUCGGUUAAAUCUGUACGCUUAACGUACAGGCUGCCGGGAAUACUGCAAAGCUAGGGAGUGGGAGAAGUAGACGGUACUCGGUAGGAAGUGGUAAAAUGCUUUGAUCUAUCGAUGACCACCUGUGGCGAAGGCGGUCUACUAGAACACGUCCGACGGUGAGGGAUGAAAGCUGGGGGAGCAAACCGGAUUAGAUACCCGGGUAGUCCCAGCUGUAAACUAUGCAAACUCAGUGAUGCAUUGGCUUGUGGCCAAUGCAGUGCUGCAGGGAAGCCGUUAAGUUUGCCGCCUGGGAAGUACGUACGCAAGUAUGAAACUUAAAGGAAUUGGCGGGGGAGCACCACAAGGGGUGAAGCCUGCGGUUCAAUUGGAGUCAACGCCAGAAAUCUUACCCGGAGAGACAGCAGAAUGAAGGUCAAGCUGAAGACUUUACCAGACAAGCUGAGAGGUGGUGCAUGGCCGUCGCCAGCUCGUGCCGUGAGAUGUCCUGUUAAGUCAGGUAACGAGCGAGAUCCCUGCCUCUAGUUGCCACCAUUACUCUCAGGAGUAGUGGGGCGAAUUAGCGGGACCGCCGCAGUUAAUGCGGAGGAAGGAAGGGGCCACGGCAGGUCAGUAUGCCCCGAAACUCUGGGGCCACACGCGGGCUGCAAUGGUAACGACAAUUGGUUUCGAAUCCGAAAGGAUGAGGUAAUCCUCAAACGUUACCACAGUUAUGACUGAGGGCUGCAACUCGCCCUCACGAAUAUGGAAUCCCUAGUAACUGCGUGUCAUUAUCGCGCGGUGAAUACGUCCCUGCUCCUUGCACACACCGCCCGUCGUUUCAUUGAAGUGAGCUUUUAGCGAGGUGACGUCUAAUUGGCGUUAUCGAACUUGAGGUUCGUGACAAGGGAAAAGUCGUAACAAGGUGACCGUAGGGGAACCUGCGGUCG
rnacentral:rRNA from 1 species